CAGUGGCGAACGGGUGAGUAACACGUGGGCAAUCUGCCCUGCACUCUGGGACAAGCCCUGGAAACGGGGUCUAAUACCGGAUAUGACCUUCCUCCGCAUGGGGGUUGGUGUAAAGCUCCGGCGGUGCAGGAUGAGCCCGCGGCCUAUCAGCUUGUUGGUGGGGUAAUGGCCUACCAAGGCGACGACGGGUAGCCGGCCUGAGAGGGCGACCGGCCACACUGGGACUGAGACACGGCCCAGACUCCUACGGGAGGCAGCAGUGGGGAAUAUUGCACAAUGGGCGAAAGCCUGAUGCAGCGACGCCGCGUGAGGGAUGACGGCCUUCGGGUUGUAAACCUCUUUCAGCAGGGAAGAAGCGCAAGUGACGGUACCUGCAGAAGAAGCACCGGCUAACUACGUGCCAGCAGCCGCGGUAAUACGUAGGGUGCGAGCGUUGUCCCGGAAUUAUUGGGCGUAAAGAGCUCGUAGGCGGCCUGUCGCGUCGGAUGUGAAAGCCCGGGGCUUAACCCCGGGUCUGCAUUCGAUACGGGCAGGCUAGAGUGNGGUAGGGGAGAUCCGGAAUUCCU
rnacentral:rRNA from 1 species